rnacentral:rRNA from 1 species
UUGGAGCGACGGGGGUCCACCCGGUCCCAUCCCGAACCCGGCCGUUAAGCCCGUCAGCGCUGAUGGUACUUGGAGGGCAGCCUCCUGGGAGAGUAGGUCAUUGCCAAGA